CGCGGUCGCCCCAGCCGCCCGGCAGCCGCCGACCCCCGGCCGGGCCCUGGACUCGCCGCGGUAGUGCCUUCCCAAACAGAGCUGCUGGAAUUACAAUCUUUUGUUGAGCCUCAUGUAACGGAAAAGUCUCCGAUUACUAUCACUUGAAAAGGCUAGCGCGCCCACGGGACGGCCUGGAGAGUGAAGAGCCCCAAGGGUCCCGGGCCCGCGCGGCUCAUUCACUCUCUAGCGUCUGCUGAGGUAACGCGGCCCGCACCUGGGCGCGCGCGACUGCCCCAGUGCGCUGGCGCCAACCACGCGGCGGCGGCCCGGCGAGCCACCGGGAAGAAGUCAGACAAAGUCACUCUCAGGGCGCUGUGCAGCGCCACAGCCAGGGGAGGUGUAAGUUCGGGCUCAGUGAAGAAUCUCGGCUGACUUACGCUGCCAUCAGGGGAUAUGAAGGCGGUGGUUUCCUGGAAUAACACGGGCCUAUGAUAGGAAUUCGACGCAAGGAAGAUUUAUGGGAGCACCGAUUUGCAAGGCAUUGUGGGAAAAAGGUACACAGGCAGACAACAAAUUACACUUUUGGCAUUUCCAGUUUGGAGCCCUACAGCAAUACUCACUGAAGAAGGUUGCACAUAAUAUGAUGGCAGUAGAGCUGGGACGAACGUAGCCACACUCAAUCCUGUGAAGCCAACACUGAAUGAACCAGGCAGAGUGAACACAUGCAAGUAUUAGAAAGGUUUGGACACUGGGGAAGGGUUUAAUAACCCCACGGGGAUAAGAAGUAAGAAAUGGGAAUCCAUUUGGUGUGAUGGGACCAGGGAAGAAUAAGACAGAUCCCUGAUGGCCCAUCUGACCACCUCCAGUUCAGAAGUGGGGAGGAGGUAAAGGAAGGCCAGAGGUAUUCAUUCUUUAUUUCUUCAGUGUUUACUGUUCUGUAUUUACAGUAUUUAAUGUGUGCAAGGCACACUGCCAGGUGUUUUAGAAGAUUCAGAAGUGACCAGGAGUGUUGCUAGCCAAAGGAAAUGGGACAAAUGUGCAAACAGUAAAGUACCAAAAGAAUAUAGUAAGGGCCAGGGGAGGACAGCUCUAAGAAUUCAGAGGACAAGGAGGACACAUCUGCCUUUUGGAGAAAGCUGUCUCAACAAAGAGGAACAGAGCACUAAAGCUAAAUAACCCCCAUGAAGGACCAACCCUCUUCCGGAAAAAAGGCUUAAAUUACACAUCAGUUAAAACGACGACAACAUUCUCCUCCACUUGUGCUCUACAGUGAGGGGCAGAUGAAUGGCCUUUGGCUGUUGCAGCAAAAUAGAGGCAGUCCCCAAAUGAAGAGCAAUUGUAUUCCUUUAAUUCAGUCAUAAAUCAACUCUCAAUUCUAUGAGAUUUUUCACAGAAGAACGGAGCGCCUCAAAAGUGGAUCAAGGCAGAAAUGGAUGUGGAAAUUAUCAUCCUGUACCUUUGAGGUAAAGAGGCUUCUACAGCUCUGGCAUGAGCUACCACAGGUCAUAACCAUUAGGAAAGAAACUGGAAUGUUACCAUGCCAGGCUUUGUGAAUAAACUAAAGUUUUGCUGGUGGUGGCACAGGAAAAAAAUGAAGAAACCAAGAGGACUUGAACCAAGUGGGUAUGACUCCAAAGCCCAUGCUUUAAAUGAACAAAUUGGCCUACCCUCUAAGGCAAGAACCCUUUAAUAGUGGUCUAUGUCAGAAAAAUAUCAAAAAGACUCAAGGCUCUUAAAUAAAUAAGGAAAUGAAUGACCUGCAUCAAAGUCUAAUUACGCCUAGGCCAGUUACCCACCCAGCCAGGUCUCCUUGUACAUACACAAUGGGGGUGAUAUUGCCCCCACAAGGAAUGAAAAUUCAUUUUGGGGAUGAGGCAAAAAAUUGUAUUCUUUUUCAUAUUAGCAUAGAUAUAUAAUGUAUCUAUGGCAUGAAAAUUUCAUGGGUGGGCAAUUAGGAGGAAAAAAAGGGUCAC
rnacentral:lncRNA from 1 species